rnacentral:lncRNA from 1 species
CGUCCAGUGGAAGGACCCAGGGGGACAAAAUGUAACAGAAGACACGACAACAUUGAGAAAGCACAGAGGAUUCUCAAUUGUAGCGAGGAUUUGAAACUAUCCACUGGAGCUUGAUGGGAUCACAAUGGGUCUAUAACUAAAGCCAAUGAUCUCCCCUCUUCCAGAAGCCAUCAGUAGCCAAGAGCAUCCUGAGCCCUUGUCCUAUCCAUGCUUGAGUGUUGACCGGCCAAUUCUUGUGCAGACACAGUGUAGGCAACUGUAGGUGUUGUGAGUAACUCUGCAUAGCACCACCCAGCACUUGGAAGAUUAAACGAUCCAGAUUGUAUUGCUUUUGAAGGAUUUAAAGCUUCUCCGCCCAGUUUUCCAUCCAGAGAAGUUGGACAUUAUAACUAGGUUUGCUGAGGUUGCUGUUCUGCAUAAACACGCAGUACAAAGAGGCAGAGGAGUGUGUAGGGUCAUUUCAGAAAUUGUUCAAAAUUCUUCCUU